UUUUAACUGAGUUGGUAUAUUAUUUUUUAUCUUUUUAUUUUCAACCAAUUUGUGUCUUUUAUUCUGAAGUUUAUCUCUUAUAGACAGCAUAUAGUUGUAUCCUGACCUUUUUCCAGUCUGACAUCCUCUGCCACUAUAUUAGUGUUUAGCCCAUUUACAUUUAAUGUGAUUAUUAAUAUGGUUGGAUUUAUACCUGAAAUUUUGCUAUUUGUUUUCUUUAUGUCUCAUGUCUUUUUUGGACCUCCAUUCUUCCUUUAUUGCUUUCCUUAUGUUAAACAAUUAUUUUUAGUGUAGCAUCUUAAUUCCUCUGCUGAUUUAACUAUAUUUGUUUGGUGUUAUUUUUUAACAGUUACUUUAAGAAAUACAAUAUGCCUUGUAAGUUUUCACAAUCUACUUUUGGUUAGUAAUCACAAUUCUGGUAAAGUUUAGCAAACUUGCUCUAAUAUAGCUUCAUUUUCUCAUAUAUAUUACAUAUUUAUAUGUUAUAAACCCAAAAGUAAAGUGUUAAAGUUAUUCUUUAAUACGAUCUUAGGUCUUUUUUUUUUUAAGUUAAGAGAAGAAAAGAUUAAAAUCUAUCUUUGUCUUAUAUUUACACAUAUUUACCAUUUCUGAUGCUCUUCAUUUCUUUGUGUGGAUUCAAACUGCCAUCUGGCACCACAUCCUGUCAGCCUGAAGUACAUCCUUUAGUAUUUCUUGAAGGCAGGCCUGCUAGGAAUAAAUUCCCUAAGAUUUUUUUUAUCUGGGAAUAUUUGUAAUUUACCCUCAUUUUUUGAAUCAUGGUUUUCCAGAACAUGAAGUUUACUCAUUUAUUUCUCAUCAAAUUUUCUAUUUUUACUGACAAUUCCAAUGGAUAUGGGUUUCUCACUUUCCACCCAGAUCAAGCCAGCCCUUCUAGCAGUGAAGCUGCUGGUUUUUACAGCCAGCCCCACCUUGGUAGCACUAUCAAGGUAUUAGGGUUGGGGAGUUGGAAACAUCCCCAGGCAAGAAUACCACAGACUCCCACUGCUUGUAUAGAAGUUCAGCAGUUUCUCACAAAUAAAUAUUUCUUAAUUUGUUGUUUGUCUUUGGUCUUUUCCCAGACUCCUGAAAUGAUCAUUUUUUGAAAUUUUUGUCUAGUUUUGUACUUGUUUUUUGGGGAGAGCAUUUUCUGCCAGAAGUACUGCUCUCUGAUUUAUAUAGAUUAAAUAUUCUCAAAGGAUUUAAUGCUUAGAACAGCCAUUGACUUAACGCUUUAUAAUUUUGGCUGCUCAGGGCAGUAGGAGUGAUUUCCUAUCCUAUUAUAGAAACUUAUUGCUCUAGAGUGUCACAUUUUAACUUUAUUUUUUCCUAUUGGAAGUACAGCUAGUUCCUUUUCAUGAGAGAUAACAGGGGACUUACAUUUACUGAGCAUAUACCAGGCUACUGACAUGAUACACUCUCUCAUGCUCUAUUUCUCUUUAAAAUAAUGAUUGUGGGCUUUUUAUAACUGUAAAUGCAAGAUAAACUGGUUUUUGAAAAAUUGAACAAUACAGAAAAGAUUCAUCUCUCCAGAAAUAUUUUAUAAUGUCACCAUCUAGAGAAAGACAUACUUAACAUCAGUCUACUUCCCCUCUCCCCCUCCACCCUUUAAAUCUGUGUGUGUGUGUGUUUUGAAAUUAGUUGCAGAAGGUGGGAAUUAAAUCUGCUCUCAAGAUCAUAGCCCUCUUCCAAGGUUCUAAGAUUUGUAAAAAUCUUUUUCUCAUUCCAACUACUGGGGUAGAAGAGAAAGCCAUAGCCCUUCGAACUUGAACAGUGCCUAAGACAUACAUUUUGGUUAUACAAAGAUAAGCAAAGAUUCUGUUCUUUAAGGAGAAACCAGAUGUUUAGCUCCAAAAACUAUAUUGCCCUCUAUAUGCAAGAGUUUUUUCUCUGUGGGUACAUAUUUUAUCCUCUAAGAAUUUUUAAAAUAUAAAUAUGGAUUGACUGCUUUGCUCUUAAAAAUUAUUGUUAACAGUAGGAUAGACUGCUAUCAGGAGAAAACUUGGACUAGAGAAGAAAAUAAUCUUAAUUUGAGCUGGUGCUUCCUCCUUUUUCUUUCUUUCUUCUUCUUUUUUUUUUUUUUAUAGGAAGCAAAAUGUAAUUUACAGCCAGGCCCAGGAAGAAGCAAAUCUUCAAUAACCAAGGGUAUGUUGGUUGAAAGAAGCAGCCAAACCAAUAGCAAUCUUUAAUGUCUUGUCUUCUUUCUCCCAAGAGGGAAAAAAUAAAUGCUGUUCUUGGUUAGUUUGAGUUUUACUCAUUUUUUUAGGUGAAGUGAGUAGGAAAUCGUUGGCUGCUCUCAUUGAUGGGGAAACAAAUAGAACUGGAGUAUCCCCAUAACUCUCAGUCCAGAAAGGACAGCUAGUUCCUCUUUUCCCAGGAGCUGACGCAGUCUGAGUGGAAGGGAGUCAUCAUUACCAUCUAACCAAAGCCUGAGGCAUUCCCCUGAAAUGUUGAGAAAGAGGGGAAAAAGUUCUUUCUCCAGUAGAUGGGACUGGACUCUCCCAAGGGAACAGAAGCUGUGAGGCCACUCAGUUGAGGGAGUUUGAUGGCAGAGGCUGUGAGAGAACAGAGGAGAACUGAGGGAAGAGGGGGUUGUGGAAGAAGAGAUUGAUUGAUCAGUCAGUGCAGACUCUGUAAACCUAUUUGGUAGCCAUGGUGAGGAUCUGCUCUUGACUCAGUUCUAGGGAAACUAUCAGUCUAAGAUGCAUGUGGGUACUGCACCAGAGUUCCAAACUAUCUCAAAUGGACCCAAUAUGUAGUCCAUCUGCACUGUAUUUUUUUAGCUUCUGAGAGCAAGAUAUUUUUGAAAUCCAAAUAAUAAGAUAAUCCCAAUUUCAUGUCUUUGGGUUUCCCACAAGCAGAAAAUCAGGUGACCACUCAACAUGCUCUGUACCCAAGGAACACAAUCUUGGACAUACCAAGCAGCUGGGCUCCUUAUUUCCACACACUCGUCUGUGAGUACUAUCUUUACAUAGCCCAAAUGCCCAUUAAAUUGCUCCCCCAAAGAAAAGAUGAAUUCUCUUUGGAGGUAUAAAAUGCAGCUUGUGAAAUCGUAAUAGUUUUUCAAUCUGGGAAAGCCACCCCAAAACUCUGCUAAAAUGAUCAGGGAUUCCCUGGUUUCUUGUUCAGAACUUAUAUCUAGGAUCUUAAUUAUUCCAUUUAGAUUUUUUUUAACAUGGUGCCUGGUUUUUUUGCGAACAAUGUCUUUGGACUGGAAAAAUAUAACUUCCUAUAUCAUACCAAUUCCCUAGAUUAGAAAGAGAAGGGUUAUGUCACCCAUCAGGCUUGGCUGCUAACUCAGCGUAGUCGGGCAAACCUGCCCUUUUCUGUAGAUGGGCUAUGAGCAUUUGUUGAGUUGUUCUAACAGAGAUCACAGUUAUUGUACUUACCCUUGAUUGAGAACUUUGUUUUUCCAUAAACAAAGUUUCGAGUUUCUGUGUUGCUAAGGAACUUCAGAGGGGCUGUAGGUGUGGUAGGGGUGGUGCAGGGCAAGAAUAAUGAAAGGCCUAUGAACUCAGGCAACUGGAAGGCUGAGACAUGUCGUAGUCCAAGUCCAUUCAUAUCAUGAGGUCAGUCAUUACUAGUGUAAUUUUUGUUUUCUCUUGAAAAAGUAGAAAAUUAGUGUCCCAGAUCAUGUUCCUGGAGCUCAAAGAAAUAUCAUGAGCAAUGAAUGAAGUGUGGAUUUUAUCCAAGCACUGUAGUCUGUCUACAUAGAACAUAUGCAUGUGGGGCAUAUCUACAAAAUUGUUCCGCUUUAUUGAAGCUAACUGUGAAAAGUGUAAUUAAAGAGAGACUUAAGGCUAGAAAUUCUGGCUACCCUGGGGAUAGACUGAAUUAGGCCACAAAACUUUACUCUUAGCAUAUUAAACCAAUAGCUUAAGAAAAAAUUAGCCCACAUGGGCCCCCACCUACAUUAAUAGUAAAAUAUCCUUUGUAAAUUAGUCAUCAGCCAACUAACCCAGCUUUUCAUCCUGAAGUAAUAAUCCUCUUUUAGCUAGUCACACAGCUGUAAACUAUAAGCAAAAUGGAGAGCUCAUAAUCUUUGGAAGGAAAAGAUAAUAUUAAAAUCCCAAACAAAACUCUUGCCCAAAGCUUCAUUUAGACCUGCCUGACAGCAAAAUUGUAUUAAUGAGGUUAACUUUAAUAUAAUAAUUUUAUAUGAAACAAAAAUUUGAUGGUUGCAAUAUUUAUUUUUUGCCCACAACAUCAAAGGGUAAAGAAUAUAUAGUUUAUACUUAAUCAUCCUUAGACAGCCUUAAGAACUUAAAAGAAUAAUAACAGUAAAAACAAGGAAGAAGGAAAAAACCUUAAUAACUAUACGCUGGAUCCAUCAUAGUUGACACAUUUUCCAACAACUGCAAGUAGAAAUGAGUUUUCCAAAUGUAAACUUGAUAGAAAUUAAAAGUAUGGAUUUGCCAAAAAAUCCUGAUAUUUGGGAUGUUUCUUACAUCAAACGUAGUCAGGGUGAACUAUGUACUAAACCAGUACGGUUAGAGAAAUGGAGAUAAUACUGAAAGGAAAAAGCUUUGAAAAGUUCAACCUGCAGCAUGACAUGAUCAGAAUAAUUAGGAUGAUGAUGAGAACAAAGCAAAAGUACAGAAAAAACUCUUAAUGGGGCGUUUCAUGUGAAUUAGCUCAUUUAGUCAUCAUAACAAUUUUAUGAUGUAAUUACAACUAUUAUCUCUGUUACGAAUGAGAAAACCAAGGCUUGUAGAGUUUAAGCAGCUGCUUCAGUCACAGAAUUAACAUGUGAGGAAGUCUCUCCAACUGUAAAACUGCGAUGGUGAAUCAUACAAUCCCUUAUCACUCAAACUUACCUGUCUGUCUGCAUUUCCAAAUCACCUCCUUUGCCUGGUCUUUAAAUCUCUAAUUCUGUCUCUGUCUGUCUUUCUCUCUGUCUCUCUCUCACACACACACGUAUGGCAUCUGAUUAUCUCUGUCUCUUACCCUAGUAAUUUGGCCUUUGUAAGCAGGCAAGUGGCCCUGAUGUUCUGUCCAAAAAGAUAGGGAACAUAUAGCAUUAAAAAGAACAGAUAUUAAAAAGGAAAAAAAAACCCUUCUGUUCCUUAACUCUUGGCCAUUAUGUCCACUUGUGAUACCAACCAAUGUUGCACCAUCAACAGCCUUGCCAGAUCUUCCCUAUUCCUAAAGGUUAGCCAAUUAGCUGAUUUUCCUUUGGAUUGGAAGAAGAAAAUGAUUAUGUGCAUGAAUAGACAAUAUGAGUAAGUGGCCGGAAGCCAUUUUGAGUGGCAGAAUUCCAAUUUGCCGAAACCAUGAAAGUGACACCAAGUCACCACUUGGAAGCAGCCUAGGUCAGCGGCUAUAGCUCCAUGUUACCUAUCAUCACAGCACCAACCUCCAAGUUCUCUUUCUUGGCUACAAUCUAAAAGUCAGAUGCUGAGGCCCUUGACGGAUAUGCAGCAAUGAUAAGAAGAGAGUGCUUUACCACAAGCUGGAAGCCAUCUCUGAUUCAAAGUGCUGAGUGAACACUUAGUCCCCACCCCUGCUGCUCCAUGUGUAAAGAGCACCUUCAGAGUCUCACUCUUGCCAUCACUCCACAUGCUUACCUACUCAUUUCCAGAGGACCACGAGGGAACCGACGGGAAAACCCAACUACUACUGGACAGCUUUGAUGACCCUAUCACCUACUUCACAGAAUGCAGAAAUUCAGGAUGCAAUACAACUGAUUUGCUAAAGAGAUUGGGAAGGAUUUCUUAGUUUAGCUACAAAUGAGGACCAGAAUGCCUCGUGGAGUCAAAACUUUACCACACCUACUAAAUUAGCAGUGGCCCUGGGAUGUGGUCUGGGAUGAUGUCCAAACAAGUGUUAAGCAUUAUUUGUCAUGGACUUUGGGCAAUAAAAUGUUUAACUUUUUUAUUAAAGAUCACUAAGACGUUUGUCAGUUA